GGUUAAGCGACUAAGCGUACACGGUGGAUGCCCUGGCAGUCAGAGGCGAUGAAGGACGUGCUAAUCUGCGAAAAGCGUCGGUAAGGUGAUAUGAACCGUUACAGCCGGCGAUGUCCGAAUGGGGAAACCCAGUGUGAUUCGUCACACUAUCGUUAACUGAAUACAUAGGUUAACGAGGCGAACCGGGGGAACUGAAACAUCUAAGUACCCCGAGGAAAAGAAAUCAACCGAGAUUCCCCCAGUAGCGGCGAGCGAACGGGGAGCAGCCCAGAGUCUGAAUCAGCUUGUGUGUUAGUGGAACGGUCUGGAAAGUCCGACGGUACAGGGUGAUAGUCCCGUACACCAAAAUGCACAGGCUGUGAACUCGAAGAGUAGGGCGGGACACGUGGUAUCCUGUCUGAAUAUGGGGGGACCAUCCUCCAAGGCUAAAUACUCCUGACUGACCGAUAGUGAACCAGUACCGUGAGGGAAAGGCGAAAAGAACCCCGGCGAGGGGAGUGAAAAAGAACCUGAAACCGUGUACGUACAAGCAGUGGGAGCACCUUCGGGUGUGACUGCGUACCUUUUGUAUAAUGGGUCAGCGACUUAUAUUCUGUAGCAAGGUUAACCGUAUAGGGGAGCCGCAGGGAAACCGAGUCUUAACUGGGCGUUAAGUUGCAGGGUAUAGACCCGAAACCCGGUGAUCUAGCCAUGGGCAGGUUGAAGGUUGGGUAACACUAACUGGAGGACCGAACCGACUAAUGUUGAAAAAUUAGCGGAUGACUUGUGGCUGGGGGUGAAAGGCCAAUCAAACCGGGAGAUAGCUGGUUCUCCCCGAAAGCUAUUUAGGUAGCGCCUCGUGAAUUCAUCUUCGGGGGUAGAGCACUGUUUCGGCUAGGGGGUCAUCCCGACUUACCAACCCGAUGCAAACUACGAAUACCGAAGAAUGUUAUCACGGGAGACACACGGCGGGUGCUAACGUCCGUCGUGAAGAGGGAAACAACCCAGACCGCCAGCUAAGGUCCCAAAGUCAUGGUUAAGUGGGAAACGAUGUGGGAAGGCACAGACAGCCAGGAUGUUGGCUUAGAAGCAGCCAUCAUUUAAAGAAAGCGUAAUAGCUCACUGGUCGAGUCGGCCUGCGCGGAAGAUGUAACGGGGCUAAACCAUGCACCGAAGCUGCGGCAGCGACACUAUGUGUUGUUGGGUAGGGGAGCGUUCUGUAAGCCUGCGAAGGUGUGCUGUGAGGCAUGCUGGAGGUAUCAGAAGUGCGAAUGCUGACAUAAGUAACGAUAAAGCGGGUGAAAAGCCCGCUCGCCGGAAGACCAAGGGUUCCUGUCCAACGUUAAUCGGGGCAGGGUGAGUCGACCCCUAAGGCGAGGCCGAAAGGCGUAGUCGAUGGGAAACAGGUUAAUAUUCCUGUACUUGGUGUUACUGCGAAGGGGGGACGGAGAAGGCUAUGUUAGCCGGGCGACGGUUGUCCCGGUUUAAGCAUGUAGGCUGGUUGUCCAGGCAAAUCCGGAUAAUCAAGGCUGAGGUGUGAUGACGAGGCACUACGGUGCUGAAGUAACAAAUGCCCUGCUUCCAGGAAAAGCCUCUAAGCAUCAGGUAACAUUAAAUCGUACCCCAAACCGACACAGGUGGUCAGGUAGAGAAUACCAAGGCGCUUGAGAGAACUCGGGUGAAGGAACUAGGCAAAAUGGUGCCGUAACUUCGGGAGAAGGCACGCUGGUGUGUAGGUGAAGCCCCUGCGGGUGGAGCUGAGACCAGUCGAAGAUACCAGCUGGCUGCAACUGUUUAUUAAAAACACAGCACUGUGCAAACACGAAAGUGGACGUAUACGGUGUGACGCCUGCCCGGUGCCGGAAGGUUAAUUGAUGGGGUUAUCCGUAAGGAGAAGCUCUUGAUCGAAGCCCCGGUAAACGGCGGCCGUAACUAUAACGGUCCUAAGGUAGCGAAAUUCCUUGUCGGGUAAGUUCCGACCUGCACGAAUGGCGUAAUGAUGGCCAGGCUGUCUCCACCCGAGACUCAGUGAAAUUGAACUCGCUGUGAAGAUGCAGUGUACCCGCGGCAAGACGGAAAGACCCCGUGAACCUUUACUAUAGCUUGACACUGAACAUUGAGCCUUGAUGUGUAGGAUAGGUGGGAGGCUUUGAAGCGUGGACGCCAGUCUGCGUGGAGCCAACCUUGAAAUACCACCCUUUAAUGUUUGAUGUUCUAACGUUGGCCCCUGACCGGGGUUGCGGACAGUGUCUGGUGGGUAGUUUGACUGGGGCGGUCUCCUCCCAAAGCGUAACGGAGGAGCACGAAGGUUAGCUAAUCCUGGUCGGACAUCAGGAGGUUAGUGCAAUGGCAUAAGCUAGCUUGACUGCGAGCGUGACGGCGCGAGCAGGUGCGAAAGCAGGUCAUAGUGAUCCGGUGGUUCUGAAUGGAAGGGCCAUCGCUCAACGGAUAAAAGGUACUCCGGGGAUAACAGGCUGAUACCGCCCAAGAGUUCAUAUCGACGGCGGUGUUUGGCACCUCGAUGUCGGCUCAUCACAUCCUGGGGCUGAAGUAGGUCCCAAGGGUAUGGCUGUUCGCCAUUUAAAGUGGUACGCGAGCUGGGUUUAGAACGUCGUGAGACAGUUCGGUCCCUAUCUGCCGUGGGCGCUGGAGAAUUGAGGGGGGCUGCUCCUAGUACGAGAGGACCGGAGUGGACGCAUCACUGGUGUUCGGGUUGUCAUGCCAAUGGCACUGCCCGGUAGCUAAAUGCGGAAGAGAUAAGUGCUGAAAGCAUCUAAGCACGAAACUUGCCCCGAGAUGAGUUCUCCCUGAGACUUUAAGUCUCCUGAAGGAACGUUGAAGACGACGACGUUGAUAGGCCGGGUGUGUAAGCGCAGCGAUGCGUUGAGCUAACCGGUACUAAUGAACCGUGAGGCUUAACCUU
rnacentral:rRNA from 1 species